AGAGUUUGAUCAUGGCUCAGGACGAACGCUGGCGGCGUGCCUAACACAUGCAAGUCGAACGGGGCACCUUCGGGUGCUUAGUGGCGAACGGGUGAGUAACGCGUGAGAAACCUGCCUUUCAGUGGGGGACAACAGUUGGAAACGACUGCUAAUACCGCAUAAUGUUAUUUGAGGGCAUCCUCGGAUAACCAAAGCUUAAUGUGCUGAAAGAUGGUCUCGCGUCUGAUUAGCUAGAUGGCGGGGUAACGGCCUACCAUGGCGACGAUCAGUAGCCGGUCUGAGAGGAUGAACGGCCACAUUGGGACUGAGAUACGGCCCAGACUCCUACGGGAGGCAGCAGUGGGGAAUAUUGGGCAAUGGGGGAAACCCUGACCCAGCAACGCCGCGUGAAGGAAGAAGGCCUUCGAGUUGUAAACUUCUUUUACCAGGGACGAACAAAAUGACGGUACCUGGAGAAAAAGCAACGGCUAACUACGUGCCAGCAGCCGCGGUAAUACGUAGGUUGCAAGCGUUGUCCGGAUUUACUGGGUGUAAAGGGCGUGUAGGCGGAGAUGCAAGUUGGGAGUGAAAUCCCGGGGCUCAACCCCGGAACUGCUUCCAAAACUGUAUCCCUUGAGUAUCGGAGAGGCAAGCGGAAUUCCUAGUGUAGCGGUGAAAUGCGUAGAUAUUAGGAGGAACACCAGUGGCGAAGGCGGCUUGCUGGACGACAACUGACGCUGAGGCGCGAAAGCGUGGGGAGCAAACAGGAUUAGAUACCCUGGUAGUCC
rnacentral:rRNA from 1 species